GAUUGCAAUUCCUUUCUGUAAAUCGCGGCUG
rnacentral:ncRNA from 1 species